UGGUGAUGAUGUCUGAACUCACGAUGGUCUGCAGAGCCCACAGGGCUGCUGACACUGCCAGUGCCAGCUNN
rnacentral:snoRNA from 1 species